GGGGAUGACAGGCUUCGACGGAGGAGGCUGUGCCCGGACUGCGAGCCGAGAGGCGCCGAACUCGAAAACUCAGCGCAAACCCUUAAGUGCCAAUCGCACUGACUAUGCUGCUCUUCCUCUCGCUGCCUAAUGCAGUGAGCGCCUGAGCGCAAACUGACCCAACGGGUCACGUCCACCGAUCACCGCCCUCUGGCCGGGGGCAGGCUGGACGACACAAAAGCCAGAGUGCCGCGUACGACGCCAUUAAGUACGCCCAAGCGGAACUUUCGGGUUCCAAUGGCUGGUUGAGUUGGAGCUUUGGUCACCUGUAGGCCACUCAACGAUCAGAAACAUGUGACUACGCUCGUAGAUGUUCGAGGUUCUAAUCUUUCGGACGCGGGUUCGAUUCCCGCCAUCUCCACUC
rnacentral:tmRNA from 1 species